GGGAAAGGGAGAGAAUAAAUAAGCAUUUUAGUGAGUUCACAGAUCAAAAUUCCAAAACAAACACAUGUUUAAGCAAACGUGGCAGUAAGAAAGACAAUGAACAAAAUCAACAAUCAGAAAUGUAACUAUUCUGGAUAAAAUAAAAAUGUAAGAGCAAUCUGUAAAUAACUUUAAAAUAAAUAUGAUUAGGAUAUUCAAAAAGAUGAAAGAAGAAACUCCUGAUUGAGUAAGAAAUCAUGAAGCCAAAUAUGGCAGAAAUGAGAUAAGAACAGAAGUAUAUGCAAGUGUAGAUUUGAGAGUCCAAAUAUAAAUAGGUAUGACAAUAAAAUAAAUAGAGCUUGUCUUGAAAAAUCCUUAUCAAUUUGACUGUAGUAGUCCCAUUGAAUCAUAGAAAGUAAGUUUAUUUUCCUUGUCUUCUUUUACCAAACCUUAACUCAUCCUUAAAAAAAGAAAAAUUAGAGUCAACUAUGUCAAUUGAUUAUAUGAUGUUCUAAUUGUAAAAUAUAUUUACAUCAUAUACGGAGGAGUAAUACUUAGAAUUUGUAGAAUUAUAGCACUGAAUUAUUCCUUUUCAAGUAUUUAAAUUUUUAUUCAACAAAAUCCAAUUCAUGUUGUACAUGGAAUAACAUGCAUUACAUUGUGAAUAUAAAUGGUAGUUCUAAAUAAAAAGUUUAAUUAUUGUUGAAAAAUUAAGCAUUAAUAUUUGUAAAUGAAUAUAAUACUUGCUAAAUAAUAUAGUGUUGAUUCCUGACUGAUUCCUGUUGACUCCUGAUUAUAUAAAAUAAUAUCUCAGAUAUUAUUUUAUAUAAUAAGUGUUAUAUAAUUAUACCAUGGUCUUAUUGUGGAUAGUUGCAUAAAUCAUAUUAAUUUUUCCUGCCCUUGAAGGAGUUGAUUUCUUUUCAUAACAAUCUUGUACAUUAAUUGUUAAGAGCACAAGCUUUGGAGACUAUUUGAAUUUUAGGUUUAAAUUAUAUAUUUGAAAUGUGAAUCCAUCAGGAUAAAGCCAGGAAACAGAAGCCACUUUAAGUCUCUCAAAUAAAGGAAAUUAAAGAAGGAAGUUGGACAGAGCUGAGAAGUCAAUCUACAAGGCUAUUUAGAGAUUAGCAGCAAUAGCAAGCAGCUCCCUCCCUGAUGGCUGGAGAGACUGUGGGGAGGGCAUGGUGCUUCCAAGGAUUUAGAAGCCUAGUGGGAACUAGAACCAUGGAAGCGAUGCCAGGCAGAACUGAGACCUUGGAGAGAAGCCCAUGUGGUGGUAGAUAGAACCAAGGAGGAGAAGCAGCUGUUUCUGGAGAUGCCCCAGGAAGCAGAAAGAGAAGAGGAGAAAUAUACUAACUUCUCCCCUUCUCCCACCCUCCCACAUUCCACAAGUACCUCCCAUUGGCCACCUCUUGCAGAAGUCAGAGGACAGGAAGCCUGGGAACUGUAGUUCUCUGUCGUGCAGAGCAAGGAAAGGGCAGGAAAUAUAGAUUUGAAGAAAAACAGUAUACUUCACAUCUUGUAUAUUUUCAUCUUUUUCACCGUGAAAUGAGCAUUGUAAUCCAGUGUUGUUGUAAACGUAUGCAUUUAAAGCACUGAGCAAAGUGCCUGCCAUAUUGCAAGCUCUCAAUAAAUGUGAAGUAUUUUAAUGAUAGACUAGAGUCCCUGUGAUAGACUUAAGUCCCUGUGUUGUUUAAAAUCUUAAUCUAAUCUUUAUUGUGCUUUGGUCUCUGUUUAUGCUCUUUAAAUUAUAGCCUCAUACUCCAGAAGUAGUCCUCCAUCCUUCCUCUUUAGAGCAGAUAUGACCUCCUUCUCUUCAACUCCAAAAUUCUUAUCAAAGUAGUGUUGAUGGUUUCAUGGGUCAAAUGAUAUUUAGAAUUUCUAUUUGGGUUUGAGAAAUAAUUUAAAAAUUAUUUCAGAAUAAUUUUCUUGAGUGUCUAUGAUAUGUCAUAUUUGAGACUUUAAAUACUGUAUCUUAUUUAAUCCUUAUCAUAUCUACUUCAUAUAUGAUGUAGGUAUUAUUAUCACCAUUUAAGAGAUGAGAAAGGAAAAGAUCAGAGGUAAAAUUAUUUGCUUGGAAUCAUAAUAUAACCAGAGCUGCUGUUGAAAUCCAGGUUUGCUCAACUUCAAGGCCCAUACUUUGACCACUAUGACACCUAGUGCCUUCCUACUACAUUGGCCCAUUUUUUCAAUUUUCAUAUACCAAAUUAUCAUGGGAAUGCAGUUGUCACUUAAAAUGUUUCAUAAUCCAAUUCUUUUCAUUCAUUCCUUCAACAAAUAUUUCUUGAAUACUAUGUGACAGGCACUCUUCUGAAUGCUGGAGUUUGCAGUCUAGCUGGGGAGAGACAAGAAACUGGUGUCUUCAUUUUCCCUUGCUGUGUAACAAAUUACCACUAACUUAGUGACUCAAGACAACACACAUUUAUUAUCUCAUAAUUUCUGUGGAUCAGAAGUCCCAACGUGGCUUAACUGAGUUCUCUGAUUAAGGUCUCACACAACUGCAAUCAAGGUACAGACUGGGCCUGGCUCAGGGCUUUUCCACGCUCAUGUGGUUGUUGGCGGCAUUUACUUCCUGCAGGUAUGGAACUUCAGGGGUUAUUGAUCUGCUAGAAGCUGCCUGAAGUUCCUUGCUACAUGGCUCUCUCCAGGGGGGUCUCUCAAAACACAACAGCUUGCUUCUUCAAAGCCAGAAAAAAUAAAGUCUCUCAAGCAAGUCUGCUAAAGAAAUGGAAUCUUUUAUAAUGUACCCUAAACCCAAGGACGACAUUCCAUCCCCUUUGCAAUAAAAGGUGACCUCCCAUCACUUUUGCCGUAUUCUAUUGGUUGGAAGCAAGUCAGAGGUUCUGCCCAUACCCAAGGGGAGGAGAUUAUACAAAGGCAUAAAUAUUGGGAGACGGGGAUGACGGGGGCUUCCUUGAAGUCUGUCUGCCACACCUGUAAAUAAAUAUACGAGGAUAACAUCAGAUGGAAAUGACUACUCUGCAGAGAAUCAAACUACGGUGUUACGAUUGCAACUUGGUGUCUCGUGAUUGAAUGGGCAGAUAAGGCCUCCUUGAGGAAGUGGCAUCUGAACUGAGAUCUGAAUGCCUAGAGGAAGCCAGCUAGUCUGGCUGUGUUAACAGUGAGACCGGCUGGAGAGCAGUGGAUGACAGGGAAAGUGGUAUGAAAUGAAGUCAGACAGGUUCCUGGAAUGCCUAGAUCUAUAAACACUUGGUGAGGAGUGGAAGGUACGAUGAUGAACAAGACAUUCUCUGCUACCAUGGAGCUGACUAUCCACUGGUUCACUCAUACCACAGCCUUUAUUGAGCACCUAUCACAUGCCAGACAAUGUUCUAAGUGCUGGGACACAACAGAGAACAGACAGAAAAUAAACAAUUUUUUUAAAUGUUGUAAUUUUAGGAAUUGAUAUGUCCUAUGAAGAAAAUGAAGUAGAGGAGGUGAUGGCAGGUGCUAUUUUUAGAUUGAUCACAGAAGUGAUGUUGAGAAAAGACCUCCAUGAUUAAAACAGUGAGUCAACCAAUUUUCCUGUGGAAGAGCAUCCUGGGCAGAGAGAAUACAAAACAUAAGAUCUAAGUGAAGGGACAAUGGACCAUUACUUCUGAAGCUUGACUACGUUUUGAAGGUCAUAUGAACAAUUUCCAACUUCACUAUGUUCAAAUUUAAACCAAGUCGCCAUUAAGUCCACCACACACAGUCAACACUAACACAUGUUUUGUACACUGAGCUUAAAGUUUGUGCAGCUUGAUACCUCAUGCUUUUCUCUGCUUGUUCGUUUGUUUGUUUGCUGAGAUUUGUAUGUACCUAUCAUGCCUGAAAUCUCUAGGACAAAUGCAAAUCAUUCAAAUGUAUCACUAGUCUAUAAUUUUUUCUUGGAGACAAGUCCACUAGAGUACUCUGUCCUCCUCUGACCUGAAUGGUUUGCCCUCCAGGCUGGACACUCACUUAUCGUACUGGGUCUUCCUUUCACCAGCAUCCUGAGCAUUUUCUUCUCUCCUGUGUUGGAUCUCCUGAUUUCUGGUCCCACAUCAUCCUCUCUCUUAGAUUAGUUCUCAUUGUAAUGAAUAAUAUCCUCUACUAGCUUACUAUGAAAGGACACAUGAGAGCAAAAAAAUGAGAUGUUGGAUAUCUGAAGAAUUCUCUAUUCUACCCUUAUACUAAACUAACAGUCUAGCCAGGAAUAGGAUUCCAAGUUAGUAGUCAUUUCCCCUAAGAAUUUCAAGGGCACAUCUCCACUGUUUUCUAGCUCUCAAGGUUGCUGAGAAGUUUGAUGCCAUUCAUUCAUAUUUAAGAACAAGGCAAUGAAAAGCUGAAUAGAAGUUCAGUGUGUGUGAAUAGAAUUUAUCAAAUUAUAGACAUUGUUAGAGAGUAUCCAUCUAGGAAAUUAAAUUCAAGUACUCCCGAAUCUCAAUGACUCUAAAUCUUUGGUGGGGAGAUAGAGCUGGUAAAUUUUUUCCAGGGAAGAAUCUUCUCCCAUUUUCCUACCUUGGAGAAAUAUUGCUGGCAGUCAACAUCUCUGAGCUAAUGAAGGAAAAGGGUUAGGAUGUAACCAUUCAGAAUGUAGAUGUUUACUUAACCCCCAUUUUCAGCAUGGAGGUGACUGCAAGUCCAAAGUCUCUCUAGUUGAACCUCUCCAGAGAGUAAAGGCUAAUCUUCUUCUUGGGUAAAGGAGGGUUAUCCAUCACCUCUGAAGGAUUUCGAAGAUGCAGUAUUAACUACUCGAAAUAUUGACCCUUACCCUUGCUUUCUCUCCAUUUGCAUCUUUCUCCAAUCCUUGAGGCCUUGGGGUUUUGAGGAAUGAAUUCAUCUACUUCUGGUUUCAACUCUCAAAGAUCUGCUGAUUCAAAUACCCCUUGUUCAUCUGAUGUUUUCAUUCUAAAACAUAGUUGAAAUUGUUUGCUUACUCUCUAUUUUAUCCUUGUACACUGACAGUUGUUUUAAUCCCAUUAGGUUGUUUAAAUCAUUUGAGUUUGAUUUGGGGUGUAUUUAACCUGCAGUAUCUAACUAGAAACUCCCUCGAAAUGUUUUCCCCACAAUUCAAUUCCUUUCCACAAAGAAUUUCUUAUAAAUAGAAUUUUAUUCAUCUCAUUUCAUCUCAUCUCAUUUCAUCAUUGUGCAAAAUUAAGUGGAAGUUAUAAAAAGAAAAGGCUAAUGUGAGAGAUAAGAAGCCUACAUUUUAUAAACUUCAUAUGUUUGAGACAGAGAUGGAGAUUGCUAGGUCUACCAGAAGCUAUAUCUCUUUACUUUCAAUCUGAUGCUUAUUGGAUUUAAGCCAGUUGAAUAUAUGAACAGUUAUAAGGUACAAGAAUAAACUUAAAGGAUAUGGUUUAAAUGCUGAAAAUGCUAAAAAUGCUAAAAAUGGUAUUUCACAGACAAAGUGUAAUUAAGGAUUUUACAAUGGAACUCUUUCUGUAAUAUAUGUCUAUUAUUAGUCUUUAAAGAAUUUGAGUUGUAGAGAGUUCCAGUAACAUAGGAACAAAACUAUAGAACUGCCCAAACAAUUUUUAGGCCUCCAUCUUCAAUUUAAGAGCCAUAAAGAAAUAAAUAGCUACUCAAUUAGAAAGGUUAUAAAGUAUUCAGUAACACCAAAGUUCUUCUGAUAUUUUCUGAAACUCUCUUGAUCUACUUACUUUCUUUUUCAACUGUAUUAUAACUCUUCUCUAUCAAAACUUGUUUUCAUUUUUUAAAAAUUAUUAUUCAUGUUACACCUUACUGAAAGUACAAAUCAAUGUUUUACCUCUUGCCCUUAAAAAAAAAAAUCAGGCAUGCUUAAACAGUUAGAAAAUAUUUGAGAGAACAAUGUGGUGUAAUAAAGAGGAUUAAAUAUUGCUGACUGAAAUCAAAUAUGUAUUCUCUUUGCCAAAAUCCCACUAAAUAAAAUUUUGAACAGCAAUCCUGGAAGCCAGAAGAUAAUGGAGCAAUAUAUUUGAAAUUCUAAGGAAAAUUAAGUUCUAACUUAGAAUUCUAUAUCUAGUCAUACAAUCAAUUAAGUGUGAGAGUAAAAUAAAGACAUUUUCAUAAUGUCAAGUCUCAAAAUGAUUAUUUCCAAUGCGCCUUUUCUCAGAAGCUGCUCUCUUCAAGGAAUAAAUCAAGAAGUAGAAAUCAUGAGACCUGGGGAACAAGAGAUCCAACAAAGGAGAAGAAGCAGAAAAUGCUAAGAGUAAGAAGGAAGUGGAGUCCUAAAACUAAUCUGAUAAGAACAGCCAGAUCAAACUGGAGCUGAGAGAGAAUACCCCAGGAGGGAAACUAAAAAGACAAAGUCAAACAAAUGAACAAAUAAAGAAAAAAACCUGAGUGAAUGAUUAUCGAAGUUUUCAGAGUUCUGUGAAAAUACUGGGAAUUAACUUAAUGAAAAGUACAUAGAAAUCGAAGCAGUGAGACAAUUGCUAACAAACUCCAAGGGAAAUGGAAAAUUGCACACGAAAAAGGAAACGUGACCAUAGUAUGCUAUGUGGUUUAGCUGUGAACAAUACAAACAUAGUCAGAAUAAUGGAAGCACUGAAAUUUCUUCUUACCCCAAAUUAUGGGAUAGCUGCAUUGGGAGGUUGCGUUGAGAGAAGAAUGUAUUGAAACAGGGUUGUUGUUGGGUUUUUUUUUUUCCAUUUGUUGGUUUUAAAGAGAGCUAAAUGAUCAUGUCAUCUUCCAUAAAAGGAAUUUAAUGGAUUAGGUCUCAAUUUUUUAACUGAAGAGUACAUUUAAAAUUGGAAAGAAAUCCUAGAAGCAGCAGAACUGCAAAUGGGUUGCUUUUGGUAGGCAGGUCAGGAAUGGGUAGGGAUUGGGCAUGAGAUUGCUAAUAUUUCUCAUGAACACUUUGUCAUUUUAUUUGACAUGUUAAAGAAUAUUGGUGAUUUUUUUUUUUAAUGAGUAGGGACCACCUAGAUUUAAAUCUUUGCCCUGGUCUGGUUAUUCAGUAGCCUAAACAAGUUUACUGAGUCCUCUGAACUUCACCCCCAUAAUUAGAGGGUAGUUUUUAAAACAAAAUAAGGAGUCUCCAAAUACUUCUUUCCUUGGCACUCAGGCAUGUUUUAAGCAUAUUUUCUAAACCCAGAAGCUCCAAAUUCUUGACAAGUCACAGCAUGACCAUAUCUUCUUCCCAUACCAAGGGUUCUAAAGAUUCGUGCUCAAUUAGACUUCCACCUCCCCCGCCACCGCCCCCAGCCCCCUGUUCAAUGGAUUCUGCAGAGCCUGAGGAAUAGGAAAGCCCCAAGUGAACCCAUAACUCUUAAGAGAUUUCCCAGACAAGAAGGGGAAUUUCCAGGCAUCUUGGAUUUCCUAGGAUUUUAGAGAUUCUCAAGUCUCAAGUUUCAAUAUGAGUCCUUGCAACAAUUCUGAAUGAGCAGUAGAAGGGACGGCUGUACAUGCCCAGGGCUGGGAGGAUGGCAGAUUAGCUCACUUAUGGCACCGUGUGUCUAUUGGGGAAAGAAGAGUGUGAUUUCUUCUUAACUCAAAUUUAUAUCUAUGUAUCUAACAGAUGUUUUUACAAGAAUGUUUAAACCUUUUAUUUCACAUUUUAAAAGAUUGAAUAUAUUUUCCGAUUUAAUAAUUCUUAAACUAGUACUUUUGGAAAUUUGUAUAUGAAUAAAGUAGAAAUAGAAGAUUGUUUGAA